GGUGAGUAACGCGUAUGCAACUUACCUAUCAGAGGGGGAUAGCCCGGCGAAAGUCGGAUUAAUACCCCAUAAAACAGGGGUCCCGCAUGGGAAUAUUUGUUAAAGAUUCAUCGCUGAUAGAUAGGCAUGCGUUCCAUUAGGCAGUUGGCGGGGUAACGGCCCACCAAACCGACGAUGGAUAGGGGUUCUGAGAGGAAGGUCCCCCACAUUGGUACUGAGACACGGACCAAACUCCUACGGGAGGCAGCAGUGAGGAAUAUUGGUCAAUGGCCGAGAGGCUGAACCAGCCAAGUCGCGUGAAGGAAGAAGGAUCUAUGGUUUGUAAACUUCUUUUAUAGGGGAAUAAAGUGGAGGACGUGUCCUUUUUUUGUAUGUACCCUAUGAAUAAGCAUCGGCUAACUCCGUGCCAGCAGCCGCGGUAAUACGGAGGAUGCGAGCGUUAUCCGGAUUUAUUGGGUUUAAAGGGUGCGUAGGUGGUGAUUUAAGUCAGCGGUGAAAGUUUGUGGCUCAACCAUAAAAUUGCCGUUGAAACUGGGUUAC
rnacentral:rRNA from 1 species